AGAGAGGGGGGGGGGGGAAUAAGCAUAAAACGUGUGGAGAGAGAGAGAGAAUAUCACGUGUAUGAUGCAUGUCAGGAAACGUGUCCUUCCCUUCGGAUGAAACACAAAAGAGAGACACAUGUUCGGACACGUUAUGUAUGUGUGACUCACGUAGGCAGGUGUGUGUAUAUACGUGCAACCUAAGACAGGCGGACAUAUAAGAACAUAGGGAGUCUGCAAGAGGCAGAAUGGCCUGCACAAGGCAGCUUCAGAUUCCCCCUCACUACCACCUGUCAUCCUCGUCCAUGUAGCUAUCAAGUCUACUCUUAAACAAGGCUUUUUAAUCCCUAAAGAAGCCUUGCAAUUUCAAACUUGACUUUACGUGGCCUAACCUGGAAUUGUCUCAUCUAACCCAGCCUUGCCGAAACAAAUUACACUUGGAGAGAGAGAGAGAGAGAGAGAGAGGAGGAAAAUAAUCACAUACUCAUACGACGGAAAUGAUGUUAAAGCAAGUUAAGUUUCGUCCCGUUGCAUUACACAAGAGUAGGUUGGGUUAUUAUAAUCAACAUUAGCAUUCCUGCAGAACUUAAAACUCUCCCAACGCUCUUUGUCUUAUGGAUGCUGCCUCUGUAAUGCUUUUGUUUAUCAAUUUCACCUCUCCCGCUGCUGGUUCUUUGUUUGGUCUGGCUUCUAUAGUUGCCACUCUUUCUCCAGUUGUCUUUCAUUUAUCAAUCAUACGCUUGAUAUUACCCACCCAUGCUUGUUUGUUGCCUAUUUGACAUUAAAAUAUCUUCUUCGUUUAUUUGCUCCCUAGCUUUUGAAGGAACGUCACCUGUCACUGCUAAGUGAAUUUUCUAAGGAAAGUUGAAUAGUAGAUGAAAGAAAACAAGGAUACUGAGGAAUUGGUGGUGGUGAAAAUAUAGUGUGUGUGUGUGUGUGUGUUUGUGUGUGUCAAAGCUGGCCUCACCUGGCAGGAUGUACGGUAAUAUAUUCACUUUAACCCACGUGGGAUGUGCUAGACCAGACAACGCUGCACUAGUUUAAGUUAGGUUAGAUUGGAUUAGCUAAGGACCUCUCAAUUGAAUGAACCUCCUUCAUUAUUGGAGGCGUCUUGCAUCCGUGCUGUAACAGACUACCCAGGGAUUGCGUGAGAAACCUUUUUCACAUAGGCUAUUCCCUGUAACACACACACACACACACACACACACACACACACAAGUAAGCACAUGUGAGCACUUAAUAUAGCUUGUCUACGCAUGAUUUUCUCUCUCUCUCUCUCUCUCUCUCUCUCUCUCUCUCUCUCUCUCUCUCUCAUACAUACAUACACCACAACAUAUCAACACAUGUUUUAGCACGAUCAAGUAGACAGGCUAGAACGGGGGGGAAAACGAGUAGGUAGAUGACGCACCAGAGAGAGACAGACGGCGGAAUCCACACGCGAGAGGAAAAAAGAAACACUGGCAACUGUUUGACGUCGACAGUGCCAUCGGCUGACGUCAGAAGGGGAAGUCUUGCGCCACCUACACCCUCUCCUCCCCACCUUCCGUCUCUCUCUCUCUCUCUCUCUCUCUCUCUCUCUCUCUCUCUCAGGCCUUCCGUCUCCCUCCUAACCACCCACACCAUCCAUGAUCUCUCUCUCUCUCUUUCUCUCUUCAGGAAAGCCCACGCCUCCUCGUUUUCUUCCCCUUUCCAUCUUUUCUGCCUAUUCCUUCUCAUUCUUCAUAUUCUUUACCCUUUUCCCACCCCCCUCUUCCUCCCUUCUCAACCUUCUCUCACUCUGAACCUUACUUCCCCGCUCUCACUUUCCUUCUUCCUUCAUUUUUCACUUCCCAACCCUACUCGACCCCUUCCCGUCUCCCUCCCCUCCCCCUUUAUAGUCGUAUGUCCUCGUGAGGGAGCUAAAGAUAGUCAUGGCGGUGGCGGCCAGGUGGUGGUGGACUACUACUACUACUACUAUUAGUAAUAAUAAUAACAGAUUAAUUUAAUAAUUUUAUCCCCCUGAGAAGUUAAUGAUGAAGAGAGAGAGAGAGAGAGAGAGAGAGAGAGAGAGAGAGAUUUAACCUGAGAGAGAGAGAGAAAGAGAGGGAGGGAGAGGUAAAGGUGUGGACCAAUGACGACCGACUCUCGUCACCUGCUGGCGUAUUCGCAUCCCAUGAAAAAUAAAUAAACAAAUAGAAUCCAAUUUAUGUCUACGAACCCGGUGCAGACACAACCCUGAACACACACCCUUCCCUCCCUGACUCACACUUAGCCACAGCACGACUACCAUCCUCUGAACGCACGGCGGAGUAUUAUGCGUAGUAGAAAAUAAAAGGCUGUGGGGGAAUCGAAUGCGCUCGCCGCUCAGUGAAGGUCGCCAUGGCAGGGUGUUGCCACAUCCGCUCUUUACUUGUUGCAUUCACGUGGCGCCCGCCCUCCCUCUCUGCCACCUUCUGAAUGUUGUUAUUUUCCCUUUAAUACUAUUUUGACGGUGGUCGCUACGGAAAAGUGGAACGCCAAGCCAGAGUCGAGGGAUACGAACGAAGUCAGCAGUGUUCCGGUUUUCCAAGUACAGAUUUGCCGGGAAAAGAUGUCAGCUGGAGAUUUCCCUGCCCUCCACCUCCACUACCUCCCCCUUUUCUUCCCCCUCCUCCUCCUCCAUCCUGGAAGAGAAAAUCCAGGAGUGGCUGCCUCGGUGAAAGGUCACAUCCUGCUGGGAAGGACUUGAGAUGGAUAGGGCAUCUGCAUGGGAGGUUCGUCAAGGAGACCAUCAGGAGUAUAAGUGGCAAUUAUUUGAUCAAGGUGGUUAGUUUGAAUAAGUAGUAAAUUUUGGGAAUAUGGAGAUGAGGAUAGCCCUCUCUGUCACCAUUGACAACAAUGGUGGCAUAUUUAUUGUAAACAUAGUUAACAUAUUUAUUGUAAACAAUUAAACUCGAUAAUAAAACUAAACACAACCUAAUAUAACCUGACCUAACUUACCCAACUACAUCUCACCUAACCCAUUCUAACCUGAACCCCCAGCUGCCAAAAUAUGAUGUACUAGAUUGUGCUCAUAAAAUUAUAGAUCAAUAUUUUGAUGUUUCUUUAGUUUUCUGGAAGCUAUUAGUUACUGCACUGCAUUCAGAGAAAUGAAAUAUAAUACAUGUCAGUAUUAGCCUCAUGCAAAAUGGUUGCUCUUCUUUCCAUAUAUAUAACUAAUAAUCUUAACUAACUAACUAAUGGGGAUCAUAAACCUGGGGGUGUGUUGCUCCACUCAAUUGCCACCUAUACUCCUGAUGGUCCCAUCGAGCAAGCUCCCACGCAGCUGCUCUAUCCAUCUCAAGUCCUUCCUAGCAGGAUCAGUUGACUUGCCCCAGCCAUGAGUUAUAUGGGCAUCCCCUUGGUCUCCUUCACUUAGGGUUAUCUCAUACAGAAACAACCCUGUGAGCAGAACUGAUGUCUGGGAGGCGUGCCAUGGUGCUUGUAUAGGCGGAGUUGGCAUUCACCAGUUAAGCUGGUAAUGACGUUAUGAACAAGUACAUCAAACAUUAGUUUUGGUGGAUAACAUCCUUAUACUGUUGACGGCCCUGCGGAGUGCUGUGCUGGCAGCGUAGCGGGGCCUGAAACCUCAUCAACGGUAAAUGAUAGCAGGUCUUGGUUCAACUUCACAGAGUAGCCACAGAAAAGACAUAAUUUUGAGGUUAUUCCAGUGCCCACCUGCCUCUAAAAUAGUAACCCCAUUGAAGACACAACGGCAAAGCAAAACCACACAAUUACAACCAAACUUAACACCUACGGUUGUAUUUUUGCUCUCUUCAGCAGA